GGUUGACCUCGGAUCAGGUAGGAAUACCCGCUGAACUUAAGCAUAUCAAUAAGCCGG
rnacentral:rRNA from 1 species